GGGAAAGAGGUGGCAUCGGCGGUUCAAGACUGAGUUUUCUAUCUCUUCAGUGCCUCUUUCAACAAUGAAGAUCAAACCAGGUACUGAGGUAGUGGGAGUGCUCAUCUAGUUUUUGGCUUUUAGUUUUGUGCAAAUAUCUGCUGAGUGAACUACUUAUUUGAAAAUACAUCAUUGGUUAAUAUUCCCUUUUGCUCAUUGAAAUCUCAAAGACUACAGACCCCGCACAAGACAUUCUGACAUUCCCGUCUUUGAAAUGAAUGACAGCAAUGAUAAAUAUGGCUCACCUCCAGAGAUACAGAUCUCACAACUUCAUAUUUUUAAUAUAAAUUAUUAAUCUGAGAAGCAGAGAGAGAUAAGACCCAUGAUAAUCAAGCCAUAAACAGAUGCAUUUACUAGCUGAAUGGCCAACAAUGGAAUUCAACAAAUCCAUCUUGAGCACGGCAGCCAGGAGUGUGGUGCAAUUCCAUUAGAUGAAAGAGAUCUACACAUUCAGAAGCACAUGAUUCUUCCCCCUUCCAUGAUUCCAGUGGCCAAUAGGUAAUCAGAACUUCUCUGUUCAGCUAAAAGACAGAAAAAGAGCAUAUGAAAGACGUAUUUUCCCAGAAGUGCUCAUCCUGAUAACUGUGUACAGCACUACUGCUCAUAUUCCAUUGGCCAAUAUUUAGGUAGAUAACUUCACUAACUACAAGGUAUGCUGGGAAAUAAAGUCCAGAUAUGUGU
ensembl:lncRNA LINC01192 long intergenic non-protein coding RNA 1192